rnacentral:rRNA from 1 species
GGGUUGUGAGGUUAAGCGACUAAGCGUACACGGUGGAUGCCCUGGCAGUCAGAGGCGAUGAAGGACGUGCUAAUCUGCGAUAAGCGCCGGUAAGGUGAUAUGAACCGUUAUAACCGGCGAUUUCCGAAUGGGGAAACCCAGUGUGAUUCGUCACACUAUCAUUAACUGAAUCCAUAGGUUAAUGAGGCGAACCGGGGGAACUGAAACAUCUAAGUACCCCGAGGAAAAGAAAUCAACCGAGAUUCCCCCAGUAGCGGCGAGCGAACGGGGAGGAGCCCAGAGCCUGAAUCAGCAUGUGUGUUAGUGGAAGCGUCUGGAAAGGUGCGCGAUACAGGGUGACAGCCCCGUACACAAAAGCGCAUGUGCUGUGAGCUCGAUGAGUAGGGCGGGACACGUGGUAUCCUGUCUGAAUAUGGGGGGACCAUCCUCCAAGGCUAAAUACUCCUGACUGACCGAUAGUGAACCAGUACCGUGAGGGAAAGGCGAAAAGAACCCCGGCGAGGGGAGUGAAAAAGAACCUGAAACCGUGUACGUACAAGCAGUGGGAGCACAGGUUUACCUGUGUGACUGCGUACCUUUUGUAUAAUGGGUCAGCGACUUAUAUUCUGUAGCAAGGUUAACCGAAUAGGGGAGCCGGAGGGAAACCGAGUCUUAAUUGGGCGUUAAGUUGCAGGGUAUAGACCCGAAACCCGGUGAUCUAGCCAUGGGCAGGUUGAAGGUUGGGUAACACUAACUGGAGGACCGAACCGACUAAUGUUGAAAAAUUAGCGGAUGACCUGUGGCUGGGGGUGAAAGGCCAAUCAAACCGGGAGAUAGCUGGUUCUCCCCGAAAGCUAUUUAGGUAGCGCCUCGUGAAUUCAUCUCCGGGGGUAGAGCACUGUUUCGGCUAGGGGGCCAUCCCGGCUUACCAACCCGAUGCAAACUGCGAAUACCGGAGAAUGUUAUCACGGGAGACACACGGCGGGUGCUAACGUCCGUCGUGAAGAGGGAAACAACCCAGACCGCCAGCUAAGGUCCCAAAGUCAUGGUUAAGUGGGAAACGAUGUGGGAAGGCCCAGACAGCCAGGAUGUUGGCUUAGAAGCAGCCAUCAUUUAAAGAAAGCGUAAUAGCUCACUGGUCGAGUCGGCCUGCGCGGAAGAUGUAACGGGGCUAAACCAUGCACCGAAGCUGCGGCAGCGAACGUAUCACCCAAGACAACUUUACGGAGUUGACGAUUGACGGAGCGAAGCGACGUCAAAGCGUUCAUUAAAGUCGAGUUGGCUUAGGGAUACGUUCGUUGGGUAGGGGAGCGUUCUGUAAGCCUGUGAAGGUGUGUCGUGAGGCAUGCUGGAGGUAUCAGAAGUGCGAAUGCUGACAUAAGUAACGAUAAAGCGGGUGAAAAGCCCGCUCGCCGGAAGACCAAGGGUUCCUGUCCAACGUUAAUCGGGGCAGGGUGAGUCGACCCCUAAGGCGAGGCCGAAAGGCGUAGUCGAUGGGAAACGGGUUAAUAUUCCCGUACUUGGUGUUACUGCGAAGGGGGGACGGAGAAGGCUAUGUUGGCCGGGCGACGGUUGUCCCGGUUUAAGCGUGUAGGUGUGUGUUCCAGGUAAAUCCGGUUCACUUUAACACUGAGGCGUGACGACGAGGCACUACGGUGCUGAAGCAACAAAUGCCCUGCUUCCAGGAAAAGCCUCUAAGCAUCAGGUAACACGAAAUCGUACCCCAAACCGACACAGGUGGUCAGGUAGAGAAUACCAAGGCGCUUGAGAGAACUCGGGUGAAGGAACUAGGCAAAAUGGUGCCGUAACUUCGGGAGAAGGCACGCUGACACGUAGGUGAAGUGAUUUACUCAUGGAGCUGAAGUCAGUCGAAGAUACCAGCUGGCUGCAACUGUUUAUUAAAAACACAGCACUGUGCAAACACGAAAGUGGACGUAUACGGUGUGACGCCUGCCCGGUGCCGGAAGGUUAAUUGAUGGGGUCAGCGUAAGCGAAGCUCCUGAUCGAAGCCCCGGUAAACGGCGGCCGUAACUAUAACGGUCCUAAGGUAGCGAAAUUCCUUGUCGGGUAAGUUCCGACCUGCACGAAUGGCGUAAUGAUGGCCAGGCUGUCUCCACCCGAGACUCAGUGAAAUUGAACUCGCUGUGAAGAUGCAGUGUACCCGCGGCAAGACGGAAAGACCCCGUGAACCUUUACUAUAGCUUGACACUGAACAUUGAGCCUUGAUGUGUAGGAUAGGUGGGAGGCUUUGAAGUGUGGACGCCAGUCUGCAUGGAGCCGACCUUGAAAUACCACCCUUUAAUGUUUGAUGUUCUAACGUGGACCCGUAAUCCGGGUUGCGGACAGUGUCUGGUGGGUAGUUUGACUGGGGCGGUCUCCUCCUAAAGAGUAACGGAGGAGCACGAAGGUUGGCUAAUCCUGGUCGGACAUCAGGAGGUUAGUGCAAUGGCAUAAGCCAGCUUGACUGCGAGCGUGACGGCGCGAGCAGGUGCGAAAGCAGGUCAUAGUGAUCCGGUGGUUCUGAAUGGAAGGGCCAUCGCUCAACGGAUAAAAGGUACUCCGGGGAUAACAGGCUGAUACCGCCCAAGAGUUCAUAUCGACGGCGGUGUUUGGCACCUCGAUGUCGGCUCAUCACAUCCUGGGGCUGAAGUAGGUCCCAAGGGUAUGGCUGUUCGCCAUUUAAAGUGGUACGCGAGCUGGGUUUAGAACGUCGUGAGACAGUUCGGUCCCUAUCUGCCGUGGGCGCUGGAGAACUGAGGGGGGCUGCUCCUAGUACGAGAGGACCGGAGUGGACGCAUCACUGGUGUUCGGGUUGUCAUGCCAAUGGCACUGCCCGGUAGCUAAAUGCGGAAGAGAUAAGUGCUGAAAGCAUCUAAGCACGAAACUUGCCCCGAGAUGAGUUCUCCCUGAGACUUAGAGUCUCCUGAAGGAACGUUGAAGACGACGACGUUGAUAGGCCGGGUGUGUAAGCGCAGCGAUGCGUUGAGCUAACCGGUACUAAUGAACCGUGAGGCUUAACCUUACAACGCCGAAG